rnacentral:rRNA from 1 species
AUUGCCUCAGUAACGGCGAGUGAAGCGGCAACAGCUCAAAUUUGAAAUCUGGCCCCAGGCCCGAGUUGUAAUUUGCAGAGGAUGCUUUUGGCGCGGUGCCUUCCGAGUUCCCUGGAACGGGACGCCAUAGAGGGUGAGAGCCCCGUCUGGUUGGACACCAAGCCUUUGUAAAGCUCCUUCGACGAGUCGAGUAGUUUGGGAAUGCUGCUCUAAAUGGGAGGUACAUGUCUUCUAAAGCUAAAUACCGGCCAGAGACCGAUAGCGCACAAGUAGAGUGAUCGAAAGAUGAAAAGCACUUUGGAAAGAGAGUUAAACAGCACGUGAAAUUGUUAAAAGGGAAGCGUUUAUGACCAGACGUGGGCCGGUUAAUCAUCCAGCGUUCUCGCUGGUGCACUUUGCCGGUCCAGGCCAGCAUCAGUUCGUUGCGGGGGAUAAAGGCUUUGGGAAUGUAGCUCCUCGGAGUGUUAUAGCCCUCUGCGUAAUACCCUGCGGCGGACUGAGGUUCGCGCUCUGCAAGGAUGCUGGCGUAAUGGUCAUCAACGACCCGUCUUGAAACACGGACCAAGGAGUCGUCUUCGUAUGCGAGUGUUCGGGUGUAAAACCCCUACGCGAAAUGAAAGUGAACGCAGGUGAGAGCUUCGGCGCAUCAUCGACCGAUCCUGAUGUUCUCGGAUGGAUUUGAGUAAGAGCAUACGGGGCCGGACCCGAAAGAAGGUGAACUAUGCCUGUAUAGGGUGAAGCCAGAGGAAACUCUGGUGGAGGCUCGCAGCGGUUCUGACGUGCAAAUCGAUCGUCAAAUAUGGGCAUGGGCGCGAAAGACUAAU